GCAGUGACACCAUCGUUCCCGUCCUAAGAACCAUCCGGCCCUUUGGGGAAGACUGGCUGCUGGGGAGGGCCGAGGGGCCGGGCACCCAGACAUAGUGACCCCAGAGCACCUUCGUCGCCUCCCCAGGCCCACUCCCCAAAGCCAGGCCCUGUCUCUGUAGACAGGCUCCACGGGGGAGAACUGGACACUUGGAGCAAGAGAAACAGGAGGCCAGCGUUCAAGCCUGCUGAGGUGCUAUGUGACCUGAGGCAAGUCAUGUAAACUCUCUGGGCCUCAGAGACCCCCAACUAUAAAAUGAGGAGGAGAAAAGUCUUUCCCAGCCCACCUCACAGGGUUGCUGCCAUCAUGGACAUAAAAGGAAAAGACCUUUGAAGGAAAAAGAAAGAUGAAGGAUCUCGCUCUGUCACCCAGGCUGGAGUGCAUGGCACCAUCGUAGCUCACUGUGGCCUCCAGUUCCUAAGCUGAAGCAAGGCUCCCUGCCUCGGUCUCCUGAGUAGCUGAGACCACAGGCAUGCAUCACCAUGCCCAGAUAAUUUUUUUAUUUUUUGUAGAGACGGGGUCUCGCUGUGUUGCCCAGGCUGAUAUAAACUCCUGGGUUUAAAUGAUCCUCCUGCCUUGGCCUCCCAAAGUGCUGGGAUUACAAGUGUGAGUCACAGCACCCAGCCACCAAUCUCAUCCUGCAACAGCCACGGGAGAGAGAGCUGCUGGGCAGAAACGCCUCAGCUCCCUUCAGUGAGGAGCCCGAAGCUCUGAGAAGUUUAGGGGCUGGCUCAAGGAAGGAGUGCCAGAUCUGAGCAGAGGGCUCCAGGCAUUCUCAGCUAUGGCUGACCGACCACCAUGCUUGGCAAGAAACAGCCACAUGCCUUUAUCUUACUCUAUCCCCACUUUGGUCCUGGGAAGCCAUGCUGUCUCCUCAUGGCACAGAGAGAGGAGGUUGCUUUGUCUGAGGUCACCUACGAACUGUUAAGAGGAGAGGGGCAUUUGACCAGGCAUGGUGGCUCAUGCCUGUAAUCCCGGCGCUUUGGGAGGCCAAGGCAGGUGGAUCAUUUGAGCCCAGGACUUCGAGACUGUGUCUUUACA